rnacentral:rRNA from 1 species
CAUGCAAGUCGAGGGGCAGCAUGAACUUAGCUUGCUAAGUUUGAUGGCGACCGGCGCACGGGUGAGUAACACGUAUCCAACCUGCCGAUGACUCGGGGAUAGCCUUUCGAAAGAAAGAUUAAUACCCGAUGGCAUAAUUCUUCCGCAUGGUAGAAUUAUUAAAGAAUUUCGGUCAUCGAUGGGGAUGCGUUCCAUUAGGUUGUUGGCGGGGUAACGGCCCACCAAGCCUUCGAUGGAUAGGGGUUCUGAGAGGAAGGUCCCCCACAUUGGAACUGAGACACGGUCCAAACUCCUACGGGAGGCAGCAGUGAGGAAUAUUGGACAAUGGACGAGAGUCUGAACCAGCCAAGUAGCGUGAAGGAUGACUGCCCUAUGGGUUGUAAACUUCUUUUAUACGGGAAUAAAGUGAGGCACGUGUGCCUUUUUGUAUGUACCGUAUGAAUAAGGAUCGGCUAACUCCGUGCCAGCAGCCGCGGUAAUACGGAGGAUCCGAGCGUUAUCCGGAUUUAUUGGGUUUAAAGGGAGCGUAGGCGGACGCUUAAGUCAGUUGUGAAAGUUUGCGGCUCAACCGUAAAAUUGCAGUUGAUACUGGGUGUCUUGAGUACAGUAGAGGCAGGCGGAAUUCGUGGUGUAGCGGU